GACGAACGCUGGCGGCGUGCUUAACACAUGCAAGUCGAACGGAAAGGCCCUGCUUUUGUGGGGUGCUCGAGUGGCGAACGGGUGAGUAACACGUGAGUAACCUGCCCUUGACUUUGGGAUAACUUCAGGAAACUGGGGCUAAUACCGGAUAGGAGCUCCUGCUUCAUGGUGGGGGUUGGAAAGUUUCGGCGGUUGGGGAUGGACUCGCGGCUUAUCAGCUUGUUGGUGGGGUAGUGGCUUACCAAGGCUUUGACGGGUAGCCGGCCUGAGAGGGUGACCGGCAACAUUGGGACUGAGAUACGGCCCAGACUCCUACGGGAGGCAGCAGUGGGGAAUAUUGCACAAUGGGCGGAAGCCUGAUGCAGCAACGCCGCGUGCGGGAUGACGGCCUUCGGGUUGUAAACCGCUUUCGCCUGUGACGAAGCGUGAGUGACGGUAAUGGGUAAAGAAGCACCGGCUAACUACGUG
rnacentral:rRNA from 1 species